rnacentral:snRNA from 1 species
AGAGGUGAGGGAUAUUUGGCUGAGGCAUCUGGCACCCCAGUGAUCGCCAGGGUUGAUUCAGCUGAUCUGCUGGAUAGGUGGGUGUCCAUUCUUCCCUCACCACUCCAUGUGUGUCUUUCUCCCAGAGCUGUGUGCUGGAUGGAAGAGGACGGCCUUCUCCUUUUGGGGUGUCUCCCUCCUUCUCCGUCAGGGUAUCCUC